rnacentral:rRNA from 1 species
CGGAGGAUCCAAGCGUUAUCCGGAUUUAUUGGGUUUAAAGGGUGCGUAGGCGGCCUGUUAAGUCAGGGGUGAAAGACGGUAGCUCAACUAUCGCAGUGCCCUUGAUACUGAUGGGCUUGAAUGUACUUGAGGUAGGCGGAAUGUGACAAGUAGCGGUGAAAUGCAUAGAUAUGUCACAGAACACCAAUUGCGAAGGCAGCUUACUAAAGUAUGAUUGACGCUGAGGCACGAAAGCGUGGGGAUCAAACAGGAUUAGAUACCCUGGUAGUCCACGCCCUAAACGAUGAAUACUCGAUGUUAGCGAUGUACAGUGUGUGUCUGAGCGAAAGCAUUAAGUAAUCCACCUGGGAAGUACGAUCGCAAGAUUG